CAGCAGCCGCGGUAAUACAGAGGGUGCAAGCGUUAAUCGGAAUUACUGGGCGUAAAGCGCGCGUAGGUGGUUUGUUAAGUUGGAUGUGAAAGCCCCGGGCUCAACCUGGGAACUGCAUCCAAAACUGGCAAGCUAGAGUACGGUAGAGGGUGGUGGAAUUUCCUGUGUAGCGGUGAAAUGCGUAGAUAUAGGAAGGAACACCAGUGGCGAAGGCGACCACCUGGACUGAUACUGACACUGAGGUGCGAAAGCGUGGGGAGCAAACAGGAUUAGAUACCCGUGUAGUCCCUGUCUCUUAUAC
rnacentral:rRNA from 1 species